rnacentral:rRNA from 1 species
UACGGGGGGGGGUAAGCGUUGUUCGGAAUUACUGGGCGUAAAGGGCUCGUAGGCGGCCAACUAAGUCGGACGUGAAAUCCCUCAGCUUAACUGGGGAACUGCGUCCGAUACUGGAUGGCUUGGAUUUGGGAGAGGGAUGCGGAAUUCCAGGUGUAGCGGUGAAAUGCGUAGAUAUCUGGAGGAACACCGGUGGCGAAGGCGGCAUCCUGGACCAAUAUUGACGCUGAGGAGCGAAAGCGUGGGGAGCGAACAGG